GACGAACCGUGCGAACGUUGUUCGGAAUCACUGGGCUUAAAGGGCGCGUAGGCGGGCCGGACGGUCCGGGGUGAAAUCCCCCCGCUCAACGGGGGAACGGCCCCGGACACCGCCGGCCUCGAGGGGGGUAGGGGCGAGCGGAACGCUGGGUGGAGCGGUGAAAUGCGUUGAUAUCCAGCGGAACUCCGGUGGCGAAGGCGGCUUUUUGGGCCGUUCCUGACGCUGAGGCGCGAAAGCCAGGGGAGCGAACGGG
rnacentral:rRNA from 1 species